rnacentral:ribozyme from 13 species
AAAAACAAAACACAAAACAAAAAGGAAACACAAAAACAAUUCAUAUUCUCUUCCCUCUCUCUCUCCCUCUUUUUUUCCUUGUGUCUUCUUUCUUUUCUCUUUUUCCUUUUUU